GCCCCCGUUGUCUAAUGGUCAUGACGUCAGACUUCUAAUCUGGAGGUUGCGGGUUCGAGUCCCGCCGGGGGUU
rnacentral:tRNA from 1 species